GCACAAAGUAUCUCCAGAAAUCAGAAAUGUCUGUGCUUUGGUCGCAAAUUAAGGCGUGCUAAAUUAACAAACAAAUGCUGCUUACUAGCAUCGUUAGGCGACACGAAUACACCAACUGUGGCCAUGGUUUUCAAAGCAGUACAAA
rnacentral:snoRNA from 1 species